AAGUAUCGGUUAAGACUAACCGGCAGAAUUCCAUCGGUAAUACUAAAGAAACUUUGUUGACGAUUGACUUAAUAUACAAUUCACAAUGCAAAAUACUAAUCAAAGACCAGAAUCUAGAAAUUGUAAUCCAGCCAAAAUGUAUAAAAAAACCAUGUUUCCUUGAUAUGUAUAAAGGAUUCCAGACGUUACUGAUAGGUGACUCUUUUUGUGAUAUAAAAUUGAAAACGGAUGAUCAAAAAAUAAUAACUGCACAUAAAGUGGUUUUAUCAGCAG